GCCGGUGUGAUGGAAUGGUAGACGUGACGGACUCAAAAUCCGUUGGUAGCGAUACCGUGUGGGUUCGAGUCCCACCACCGGCACCA
rnacentral:tRNA from 1 species